GGACCACGCCCCUCACACCCCUUCAAGGUGUCUCCCCCAUUACAGGUGCAACUCAGGUCCUGCGCCCCAACUCCUGCCCGAAGCGCGUUAUCGGUCUACCCCUGGUAGCCCCGGUCCGCGCUGUCGCGGUGCCGCACCUGCGCCCGGCCGGUGGCCCGCAGCACGCGCACCAUGGCUGCCGCCAGCUCCUCCUUGGCCUGCGCAGGCAGCGCGGGCUCCAGGGCCCCGCAGAGGCGCGCAUAGUGGAAGCCUCUUGAGCAACCCCUGUGGGGAAGGGAAUGUCAGCUGGACAGAAAUCUGUGCUCCUUCCUCAGCUCCUUCCCUCCCAAGACAUCCCAGAGGAUCUACUGGUCUUGGAGGACCAACACCAAGCUCAGGCUGUAUUAGCAGGAAUAAUAAGAGCAAUCAGCAGCUCCUAAUUCUUUGUUCAUUUGUUUUUUUAAGACAGGGUCUCGUGCUGUCGCCCAGGCUGGAGUACAGUGGUGCGAUCAUGGCUCACUGCAGCCUCAAAUUUCUGGGCUCAAGUGAUCCUCUUGCCUCAGCUGGGACUACAGGUGAAUGUUACCAUGUAGAAUUGGGGACUUGCUAUGUUGCCCAGGCUGGUCUUGAACUCCUGGUCUCAAGCAAUCCUUCUGCUUCAGCCUCCCAAAAUGUUGGGAUUACAGGUGUGAACCACUGUGCCUGGCCCAAACUCCCAUUUGUAAAGCAUCAAUCAUAUAUUCUCCUAUACUAUUCAUUUAUUUAUUUAAGAGAUGAAGUCUCCCCAUGUUGCUUAGGCUGGUGUUGAACUCCUGGCCUCAAGCAGUGCUCUCUGCUCAGCCUCCCGAGUAGCUUGGACUAUAGCUGCGCACUGCCCUGCCUGGCUCCUGCACUCUCUAUUGGCUUCCCAUAAACAACCCCUAGAGAAAGGUUAUUUCAUUAGCUUCAUUUGACAGACUGGGACUCUGAGGCCCAAAGAGGGUCAGCAACCUGCUCCAGA
rnacentral:lncRNA from 1 species